rnacentral:rRNA from 1 species
GGUUACAGCCAUGCUACUCUGAACAAGCCUGAUCUCUUCUGAUCUCGGAAGCUAAGCAGUAUUGGGUCUGGUUAGUACUUGGAUGGGAGACCACCUAGGAAGACCAGGUGCUGUAGGUG